rnacentral:piRNA from 1 species
UAGUCUCGUGUGGCUAAUAUU